CCUUUCUUUUUCUUUCUUUUCUGUAUUGUUCGGCUGGAAGAGAGACGAAAACAGAGGAAACAGAGCAUACGAGAGAGAGAGAGAAGAGAGAGAAGGCCGAGCGAGCUGAAGAGGAAGGCGAAGAGAGGGACAGCUUCGGGGAGCUUCCGAACCGGGCUUAAGCCCCGUUAUUUCUCUUACCUAAAUGAAGACUGGUGCGGGUAGAAAUGGAACAGAGGAAAGAGAAAGAGAGAGCUAGGCUUGGGCUCUUGAUGGAUGGAGUAUACAAAAGCCAUGUAUCUCGAAAACUUGAACUUGGUGAUUUAUUAAUGGGAGUUACCGAUGAGCUAGGAACUAGACUAGCAUCACAGGAGAACUUUUUGGACAUCGGGGAUUAGCUCGAAGGACUAGGUAGGGACCUUAAUUAAUAAAUAUUCAUUUUGUAUAAAAUGUACUGAAUAUGUUACGAUCCGAAAUUUUUGAUUAGUUGGUUGAGUGAGGUGGUUUCUUGGGAAAAAAUAUAUAUAUAUGUGUGUGUGUGUGUGUGUGAGAACUUGCUGAAUUGGUUAUAUAUUGGGAAAUUAUGAAAAGCAGGUUCUAUAUGGAUAGUUUAUGUGAUAUUGGAUAUCGAGGAAAUAUAGGGGAAACUCUGCUGAAUUUUCGGGUCGUGACAAUUUUCAACCUCGUGCCCUGUCUGGUUGUGGUUAUGGAACACACUACAUUUGAACGGGGUAUCGUAUAUGGGCCAGGGGAGAAUGAUGCGGUAGAAGACGCGGCAAGUCGGUACCUGGAGAAAAAUAGGAUCUGACAACCCUAUUUCGAAGAAAACGGCAUUCGGAGCAAAACUCGCUACUUCGCCGUGAUUUUUCAAUAUUUAAGACAAAUUCCAUCAAUUAGAGUCUCAAACAGGCAAUUUAUGUUAUUUAGGACGUUUUUACAAUUUUAGAAAAGUUUAUGUUUUUUAUGCAAUUUAAGCAUUUUUAAGACAUAUUUAAGCUUUGUACAACCCUAGGAUUGAAGGAGUUGAAUUUCGGAUUUAUCAAUAAAGUUGUAGAGCUACCGUGCUCUUUCUUCCAA